rnacentral:rRNA from 1 species
CUAACACAUGCAAGUCGAACGAACUCUUCGGAGUUAGUGGCGCACGGGUGCGUAACGCGUGGGAAUCUGCCCUUGGGUACGGAAUAACUCAGAGAAAUUUGUGCUAAUACCGUAUAAUGUCUUCGGACCAAAGAUUUAUCGCCCAAGGAUGAGCCCGCGUAAGAUUAGCUAGUUGGUGGGGUAAAAGCCUACCAAGGCGACGAUCUUUAGCUGGUCUGAGAGGAUGAUCAGCCACACUGGGACUGAGACACGGCCCAGACUCCUACGGGAGGCAGCAGUGGGGAAUAUUGGACAAUGGGCGAAAGCCUGAUCCAGCAAUGCCGCGUGAGUGAUGAAGGCCUUAGGGUUGUAAAGCUCUUUUACCCGGGAUGAUAAUGACAGUACCGGGAGAAUAAGCUCCGGCUAACUCCGUGCCAGCAGCCGCGGUAAUACGGAGGGAGCUAGCGUUGUUCGGAAUUACUGGGCGUAAAGCGCGCGUAGGCGGUCAUUUAAGUCAGAGGUGAAAGCCCGGGGCUCAACCCCGGAAUAGCCUUUGAAACUGGAAGACUUGAAUCUUGGAGAGGUCAGUGGAAUUCCGAGUGUAGAGGUGAAAUUCGUAGAUAUUCGGAAGAACACCAGUGGCGAAGGCGACUGACUGG